GAUGAAGAACGCAGCGAAAUGCGAUAAGUAAUGUGAAUUGCAGAAUUCAGUGAAUCAUCGAAUCUUUGAACGCACCUUGCGCUCCUUGGUAUUCCAAAGAGCAUGCCUGUUUGAGUAUCAUUAAAUUAUCAACUGUACCAAUUUGGUUGCAGAUUGGAUGUGGGAGAUUUUGCAGGCUUUUGAUUUCUCUUUGAGAAAACGGUCAGCUCUCCUGAAAUAUAUUAGCAGUGCCUUUGUUGGUUCAUUAGGUGUGAUAAUUUAUCUACAUCUUCACAUGGUACCUUAAUUUGUGUAAAGGUCAUAUUGCUUCUAAUUGUCUUUGGACAUAAAAAAAAAAAAACAUAUAAUUGUAUGGAAAACUUGAUCUCAAAUCAGGCAGGACUACCCGCUGAACUUAAGCAUAUCAAUAAGCGGAGGA
rnacentral:misc_RNA from 1 species